CGGACGGGUGAGUAACGCGUGAGAAUCUGCCCUCAGGACGGGGACAACAGCUGGAAACGGCUGCUAAUACCCGAUGUGCCGAGAGGUGAAAUGUAAUUCGCCUGAGGAUGAGCUCGCGUCUGAUUAGCUAGUUGGUAGGGUAAGAGCCUACCAAGGCGACGAUCAGUAGCUGGUCCGAGAGGAUGAUCAGCCACACUGGGACUGAGACACGGCCCAGACUCCUACGGGAGGCAGCAGUGGGGAAUUUUCCGCAAUGGGCGCAAGCCUGACGGAGCAAGACCGCGUGCGGGAUGAAGGUCUGUGGACUGUAAACCGCUUUUGAUAGGGAAGAACACAAUGACGGUACCUAUCGAAUCAGCCUCGGCUAACUCCGUGCCUGCAGCCGCGGUAAUACGGAGGAGGCAAGCGUUAUCCGGAAUUAUUGGGCGUAAAGCGUCCGUAGGUGGUGAUGCAAGUCUAUUGUCAAAGCAUGAGGCUUAACCUCAUACCGGCAGUGGAAACUGCAUUGCUAGAGUGCGAUAGGGGCAAGGGGAAUUCCCAGUGUAGCGGUGAAAUGCGUAGAUAUUGGGAAGAACAUCGGUGGCGAAAGCGCCUUGCUGGGUCUGCACUGACACUGAGGGACGAAAGCUAGGGGAGCGAAAGGGAUUAGAUACCCCUGUAGUCGGUAAAGCGUCCGUAGGUGGUGAUGCAAGUCUAUUGUCAAAGCAUGAGGCUUAACCUCAUACCGGCAGUGGAAACUGCAUUGCUAGAGUGCGAUAGGGGCAAGGGGAAUUCCCAGUGUAGCGGUGAAAUGCGUAGAUAUUGGGAAGAACAUCGGUGGCGAAAGCGCCUUGCUGGGUCUGCACUGACACUGAGGGACGAAAGCUAGGGGAGCGAAAGGGAUUAGAUACCCCUGUAGUCGGG
rnacentral:rRNA from 1 species